rnacentral:rRNA from 1 species
GACGGAGGAUGCAAGCGUUAUCCGGAAUGAUUGGGCGUAAAGCGUCCGCAGGUGGCAGUUCAAGUCUGCUGUCAAAGACCGGGGCUUAACUUCGGAAAGGCAGUGGAAACUGAACAGCUAGAGUAUGGUAGGGGCAGAGGGAAUUCCUGGUGUAGCGGUGAAAUGCGUAGAGAUCAGGAAGAACAUCGGUGGCGAAGGCGCUCUGCUGGACCAUAACUGACGCUCAGGCACGAAAGCGUGGGGAGCGAACAGG